rnacentral:rRNA from 1 species
GGGGGGGGGGGGGGGGGGGGGGGGGGGGGGGAGGGGGGGGGGGGGGGGGCGGGGGGUGUGGGGGGCUGGGGUGGCGGACGGGUGGGGACGACGUGGGUAACCUGCGCUUGACUUUGGGAUAACUUCAGGAAACUGGGGCUACUACCGGAUCGGAGCUCAUGCUGCAUGGUGGGGGGUGGGCAGUUUCGGCGGUUGGGGAUGGACUCGCGGCUUAUCAGCUUGUUGGUGGGGUAGUGGCUUACCACGGCUUUGGCGGGUAGCCGGCCUGAGAGGGUGACCGGCCACAUUGGGACUGAGAUACGGCCCAGACUCCUACGGGAGGCAGCAGUGGGGGAUAUUGCACAAUGGGCGGAAGCCUGAUGCAGCAACGCCGCGUGCGGGAUGACGGCCUUCGGGUUGUAAACCGCUUUCGCCUGUGACGAAGCGUGAGUGACGGUAAUGGGUAAAGAAGCACCGGCUAACUACGUG